rnacentral:rRNA from 1 species
CCUACGGGGUGCAGCAGUGAGGAAUAUUGGUCAAUGGACGAGAGUCUGAACCAGCCAAGUAGCGUGAAGGAUGACUGCCCUAUGGGUUGUAAACUUCUUUUAUAUGGGAAUAAAACGUUCCACGUGUGGGAUUUUGUAUGUACCAUAUGAAUAAGGAUCGGCUAACUCCGUGCCAGCAGCCGCGGUAAUACGGAGGAUCCGAGCGUUAUCCGGAUUUAUUGGGUUUAAAGGGAGCGUAGGUGGAUUGUUAAGUCAGUUGUGAAAGUUUGCGGCUCAACCGUAAAAUUGCAGUUGAAACUGGCAGUCUUGAGGACAGUAGAGGUGGGCGGAAUUCGUGGUGUAGCGGUGAAAUGCUUAGAUAUCACGAAGAACUCCGAUUGCGAAGGCAGUUCACUGGACUGCAACUGACACUGAGGCUCGAAAGUGUGGGUAUCAAACAGGAUUAGAUACCCCAGUAGUC